GGCCUCUUGGUGCUUACAACAGACUAUGUUCUCAUACUGUCUGUACAGAGAGAGAAGACAGGGUAGACCUAUCUCAUGUGCAUCCUAGCCAGGCCCCAUGCCUGGUCUGAAUUGUGAAUGGGGGAACAUGG